AACGAACGCUGGCGGCAGGCCUAACACAUGCAAGUCGAGCGAGGACUUCGGUCCUAGCGGCGGACGGGUGAGUAACGCGUGGGAACGUGCCCUUUGCUACGGAAUAGCCUCGGGAAACUGAGAGUAAUACCGUAUGUGCCCUUUGGGGGAAAGAUUUAUCGGCAAAGGAUCGGCCCGCGUUGGAUUAGGUAGUUGGUGGGGUAAUGGCCUACCAAGCCGACGAUCCAUAGCUGGUUUGAGAGGAUGAUCAGCCACACUGGGACUGAGACACGGCCCAGACUCCUACGGGAGGCAGCAGUGGGGAAUCUUAGACAAUGGGGGAAACCCUGAUCUAGCCAUGCCGCGUGAGCGAUGAAGGCCUUAGGGUUGUAAAGCUCUUUCAGCUGGGAAGAUAAUGACGGUACCAGCAGAAGAAGCCCCGGCUAACUCCGUGCCAGCAGCCGCCGUAAGAC
rnacentral:rRNA from 1 species